GACGAACGCUGGCGGCGUGCUUAACACAUGCAAGUCGAACGGAAAGGCCCUGCUUUUGUGGGGUGCUCGAGUGGCGAACGGGUGAGUAACACGUGAGUAACCUGCCCUUGACUUUGGGAUAACUUCAGGAAACUGGGGCUAAUACCGGAUAGGAGCUCCUGCUGCAUGGUGGGGGUUGGAAAGUUUCGGCGGUUGGGGAUGGACUCGCGGCUUAUCAGCUUGUUGGUGGGGUAGUGGCUUACCAAGGCUUUGACGGGUAGCCGGCCUGAGAGGGUGACCGGCCACAUUGGGACUGAGAUACGGACCAGAAUCCUACGGGAGGCAGAAGGCGGGAAUAUUGCACAAUGGGCGGAAGCCUGAUGCAGCAACGCCGCGUGCGGGAUGACGGCCUUCGGGUUGUAAACCGCUUUCGCAUGUGACGAAGCGUGAGUGACGGUAAUGGGUAAAGAAGCACCGGCUAACUACGUG
rnacentral:rRNA from 1 species